rnacentral:piRNA from 1 species
UCCUCAGUGUUGUAAGGCCUAUGCCAAGGAU